AGCUCGCCUGAAACCGCGGCCGCAAUCGUACAGUGCAGUGCGCACGGUACUACGAAACGGAGCGUAUUGAAUGUUCGCUGAAUGAAUGCGUUGCGCAGGCGAGCGUCGUAUGCUAGCUACAGCUAUUGUGUUUGUGUGUAUAUUUAUGUGUGCGAUUCAAUUUUGCAUUUAGAUUGCUUACACGGACAGUACGCAACCCGUUCAUGUAUCAACUACCUGCCUCAGUCUUUUAGCUCUUCUGAUCUGUAGCCUCUCUCAUCUCUAUUCUCUACAUUUCUAUCCUGAUCACCUUCUUCUUCAUUCCCUGAGAAAUGGACGGAUCGACGGACAUCUUGGCAAUAUCAUCUGAAACUGACUUGUGCAGUGAAGUUCAACUCGGGUCUUCACCUGAUUUAAACGGAUCUGGCCUAAAGGUAGGUGACCUCAUUGCCCCCUCUGACCCCCCUCCCUCCACCCCUUCUUUCUUUUUUCAUAUGGCUUACAUAGUUUCCCUUUCUGUCUCCUUUCAUCUCUUCACUCUGACUCAUAGAUUGCUUGUUUUGUGUGUGUUUCCAUGUAUGUUCCUGAAUGUGGGAUUACUACAUGUAAUGAUGUAAUUUGUGAAUGGCAACAACUUCACGGAUUGGUGAAAUAUAAUUAAUCAUGGUUAGGACCACAGGUUGGAAGUCGUGUUCCAUAUUAACUAUAGGGUUAUAGAUCUUGGGAGCAGAAUCUUGGGGGGGGGGGGGGGGGGGGUGGGGGCUUGAGUGCAAUGGUUGGUACUUUUUGGGGGUCUUCAGUACAAUUUGUAUUUGGUGUUUAUGGGACCUGUGUUCAAAUGAUUUCUUAGAGUAAAACGAUAGACCAUACAGUCAAAUCAUGUAGAUAGCCUAAUCUUUUUGGAUGUAGGAUUGGGAGUUGAUCGGUUAAUCUUUGUCCUUUAUAUAUAAAUGAAAUUCUUAAACAUCCACUUAAAAAAAAGGAAUCAUACAAUUUAUUGUGAUGGUAUCCCUGAAACUGGAUUUGUCUUUUUGUUUAAAUUGUGGGUUGCUUGUUAGUAGGUGAGUUUGUGAAGCAGCUCAUGGUGGUAGCAGGUUAAACAGGGUGUCUAAAUGCGAUAUGAAGUAAUUGUUCUAAACCUUUCUCAUACCUCUGGAUAAUAUUUUCUCCUAUCCUCAUAUCUUAUCCCAUUAUCUGUUUUGAUUGUAACCAUUUUUGUAUUUCGUAAAUGAUUGCAGUGAUAUUGACAAUGAGUGAAUGAAAAAAAAGUGUAAGUAAUGGUAGACAAAUCUCUGAAGUUACCAGGGAGGUUCUCUGUUGUGCUUCAUUACAACAAUCCUCUGCAUAUGAUGGUGGUGAUGAUGGCAGUUACCAGUUACCAGCUGAUGAUGAUGAUGAUGGUGAUGAUUGUGAUGAUGAUGAUGAUGGUGGUAGUAGUUAAUGGUAAUGUUAAGGGUAAUGAUGGGGAUGAUGAUAAUAUUGAUGAUGGUGAUGAUCGUGAUGUUGAUAAUGCUGAGAAGAGUGAUAGAUAGUGAUGGUAAUGGUAGGGAUGUUGUUGUUGGUAGUGGUGACGGUGAUGGUAGGGAUGAUGGUGGGAAUGGUGGUGGUGGUGGUGAAGAUGAUGCUGCUAGGUAUAAUGGUUUGAAGAUGAAACCUAAAUACGUGAUACUUCUCAUGCUGGUGGAGAUGAUAAUGAUGAAAAAUAGAUCUGACAAUUUAGAAUUUUACAAGAUUUAAAGGAUGUAACUCAAGACUGUCAUAGAUAUUAAUAAACUUCAAGUUUAUCUCCUCACAAUAAAAGCCGGAGAGUAGGCUGUAUAAACUUAAAGAGAUAAAACAAGAUUAUAUGAAGAUGCAGGUGGCGAUAGAAGUUAUUGAUAUUUUGCGUGUUUGAAGCAGCAAUAAAAAGAGAAUAAUGGGCAAAAUUACUCUUCAUGACAUCCGCCGUUGAUGGAGAACGCUAUCAAUAAUAGAACAGUAGGGAUGAUGCUAGCCAUCAUCGUCAUGGAGACCAUGAACACAGAGAUGUUGACAAAACUUCUUUUGCGAUGAUGGCGCUAUCAGAAGAAUGAAAGCCUGAGUGGCGUUUGCUUGCACACAGUUGUCCAAGUUGUCAACCCAAUGAUUUGAUGCCAAAACAAUUCUAUUUGAAUCGAUCUGUUGAGCAUGAUGGAAAGCAUAUUAUGAAGCAAAAAAAGUGACAUCUCAAAAUCCCCCUGUUAAGAUUUUAAGCAGAAGUCCAAACAUAAAUCUGAAGAAGAGGAUUUCAGUUAUGUAAGUGAGUUUUCUACUACAUACAAUGCACAUAAUCCCAAGGAUUAUUUAAGUGUUUCCAAGGCCCCCCCCCCCUCCAGCUAUAAAUUGCAUGUUGGGUAAUGCUUUUUUAGAGUAUUCUUAGACCUACCAGAAUGUAUUUCAGAUUUGAUUUGAUUUGAUUUGAUUUUAGCUGAUAAAUGGCAGUAUAAGAUAGGUACCGGUAUACUUGUACAUUUCCUGGAAACAGAAAUUAUUGUCUUUUUAAAAUAAAUGUAAGGGUUGAUCAGUGUGAUUUCACACGGACUGUGGAGGUCUUCUUUUUUGAUUUUUUUUUAAAUACUUCAAAAUUUGCCUUGAAAUGAGAUUAAAGGAGAUUAUCUCAAGGGGAUUAUAAGGGGCACUAUGUAAUCUCCUUCAUAGCAUGAAUGUGACGCUACAGUCACCU
rnacentral:lncRNA from 1 species